rnacentral:rRNA from 1 species
AGCUACUCCGGGGUUGGUCCAUAUGGAGGUGGAACGCGUGAAGAAGCUGGCGAGGGAAGAAGAAAAGGCCCAAAGCAGAAUAAUCCAGGGAAUCCCGGAGGAAUGUCUGGCGAAGGCCAUCGGUCUGACCUCGCCAGCCGACGCCUGCCGCGCGGCCGCAGUGUCCACCGCGUUCCGGUCGGCGGCGGACUUGGACGCGGUGUGGACACGGUUCCUGCCGCCGGACUGCGACGCCGUCCUGGAGCGGGCCGUCCACCUCGUGGAUGCUCCCUCCAAGAAGGAGCUCUUCAUGGACCUCAGCAACGAACACGUCGUCCUCGACGAUGGCAAAAUGGUCUGUCGAUCAGCCCUUUACUUUUGCAGUUGCACUUAGCUUUCUGACGAUGGAUUUGGUUAAACACGCAUGGGCUAUCACUAGAGUUUUGGGCUGGAGAGAUCGAACGGCGCCAAAUGCUACAUGUUGUCAGCAAGCGAGCUGGUAAUCGAAUGGAUGCAUGAAAAUCUUUACUGGACAAGGAGGACCGACCCUGAUUCAAGGUUCUCCAAGGUGGCAGAGCUUCUCUCAGUCUGCUGGCUCCACAUCUACGGCACGAUCAACAGCAGGGAGCUCACUCCAGCCACCCACUACGCGGCCUACCUCGUCUUCAAGCUCACCCAUGAUGCCUCAGGCCUCAGUUCCCCGCGGCAGACAUCGUUCGUCAAGGUAGGUGGCGGGCCGUGUCUCCAGUCCUGCCGGCCUUCCAGCACCAGCGGCGGUGCCUCUUCAUCCCUGCUGGUGGGGAGCACCCACACAGUGUCUCUCCAUCCCUGCAACCGUGCUUCAUGCACCCGUAACGGCGCUGCGGCUGCGGAGCCGCACGAGCACGAGCAAGGAGGAGGAGUCGGCGGUGUCGUGAGGUACCCGCGGCAUCGGGUCGACGGGUGGUUGGAACUGGAGAUGGGCGACUUCCACACGGACACGGACAUAUGCGGUGGGGAUGAUGUUAUGAUGGAAGUGCAUGAGUGGGAGGAGCUCAAGUGGAAGAAGGGACUCAUCAUCGAAGGAAUCGAGAUCAGGCCUAGAAAUUAAUAAUGGUGAACAAAUUAAUCUCCUCGUACCAUAUUGUAAGUCGUGACUAAAUAAUUUGUCUCGGUUUGUACUCUUUGAUCGACUGUUUGAAUAAGAAUAUGUUUUAACACGGUA